AAGCAAAGAUGCAGAGGAAGGGUUUCUCUGCCUUGCGGUGUGCUUGGCUGGGGCUAUCCCUUGGUGCUGCUAUCUUGUAUCUGUGCCAUCAGAGUAAAUAAGCCUCCUCUUAUGAACGCUGACCUCGAGCUGCGUAGUAAAUUCUGGUGCCAGCCAAACCUGUGUUGGGUCUCUUGCAGCAGUGUGAUCUUCUCACUAUGGUGCUGCUCUAUUGCUUUCACCACAAGCACCAAAGGCUGUUAGAUGCUUUCCUUUGGGACUCAAUUCCAGCUGCAUGACCUAGGAUUACAGUUGCUAUGGCGAUAAGACAGUUUGUGAAGGAAGGAGUGAAAGCAACAAGGGCUCAGGAGGAGUAGGAUGUUUCCCCUGCAGCAUGUAGUAAUAUCACCAGUGCUUCUACUGCAACUAUAGCUGAUCCUCCUUUGUGUUGUUAAAGCAAGAAGGCAGCACCAUUCAGUGACCCUCACAAGCUUCUCCGAUCACCUUUAAAACAAAAAUAGGACCUAUUUAGUAAGCCUGAUGAACUAAAGGGCAUCUUUCAUGCUUUAAAAAGAAUUAUUCUAAAAAAUAAGGAAUAUUUGUAAUGCUUUUUCAUAGCUGUUUUUGAAAAGCUAAGUUUUGACACAGCUGUCUUUAAUCCAGUUGACAGUUUUACUGUUGUUGGUAGUGCUUCUAAUUAAUACCUUGUGUUUUAUCACAUCCUUUAUGUUAAUGCCCUUAAGAAUUAAAUUAAAUUAAAUGAGCUGCAUUGUACUAUUGUGUAAUAGGCUAUGAAAGGGCUAGACAUAUCUGGAGUGGGAGAAGACACUGCAUAAUCACACCCAGAGCAUCUCCAGUGGGUAAGGAAGGGAAUAUGGUCUUUAUCAGGACAUUCAUACCUGAUAAGGAAGCUUCAUCACCUGUCAGUGAAUUCUAUCUGGAGUCACGCACAGACAGAUCUUAUAUCUCUUAACUCUGUCAAAAUGGUAGGCCAAGUCUUCAUGUGAAAUUAGGGGGUAUUGAUUCAGUGAAGUCAGUCAAUUUGUGUCUGUUUUCAUAUAGUGAAAUUCUAGUUAACUGGCCCCUGGAGUUGGUUUGAUUUUUAAAAACAGAAACAGAAAUUGGUUACAGGUUUCUCUGCUUGUGUACAGGCUGAUAACACACACAACUAGUAUCCAGGCAUGUAGUAUUUGAGAUGUUUAUCUCUGUUUACAGAAAAGGUUUAAAAUCUACAGCAAGCCACCAGUUGUUUAAAUAGAUUGGGUUUAUCAGUGCACUGCUGACAGCAGUUGAACAGGCAAACAAGGCUGGUUUUUUUUCAAUGCUACAAUAAAAGUACCUUGCUUAAAGGAGGAUGAUGAGAAAGCAAAUACAAUUGAAGCAGUGAUAAAUAACCCUUGAGUAUGUCAGGACAAGGACCCUUCCAAGCCAGACCAUUGCAUGGCUCUACACUGCUAACACCUGUUAUUAGCAAAGGAUUUUUCUGUUCUGCAGUCGUGAUGAAAGGCAUAAAUUCUCAGAGUAGGUGAAAGUCAUUCUGCCCUGGUAACAAAUUGACAGCCACCCAGUGCAGACAGGGAGUAACUGUGAUUGACAUAUAACUGGAAGCAGUAGAAUUUUGAGUGACAUAAAUGUGUAUGAUCUUACAGGACUGCAAUGUGGGUGGAUUAACAGACACAGACAUGUAGAAGUGAAAAGCAGUUUCUUGAUGCUGCACAGGAUGCAAGUUUGAACACAAAGCGCUUCAGGAAGUGCCCUGAAAUUCAUACUUGUCUUUGUUUAUCUUUCUUCAAGACAAUAUAACAACAAGAAGAAAAGCUGACAAAAGCCAAAAAAAGAGUAUCCCACAUCCUUGUUUGCUCCUUUUUGUCACAACAUAGGAAGAGCAUAUCAGAAAAGUCCAAAUUCUUUCACACUGCUCUCACACUGGCACAACUUUAAAGUCUUGGUAGUUUAAUUCCUGUAAGCAUCUAAAAGUUUGGCUGAUCUCUGUUUUGUCCUUUCCUCUUCGUCUUGAAAAAGUAGCCCAGAAUUGCUGGGGGAAGAGGGGAGUUCGUUCCAGCAUUUCUGUGUUUUGUUUUACACUGAAAAGAAAACAAAGAACUUGGAAAUAAAAAUGAGUGGAAAACCUGACAAAUCAUUCUUGAGUCUCU